rnacentral:rRNA from 1 species
CCAAACCUUACGUCCCCGAGAAUCGGCAAAAGGCUGACGGAUGCCUUUACUGGCGUCCCGAUUCCCGCUGCCAAAACCAAUAUAAAUCAAAAACCUAGGUGCCUCGGCAGGCCGCCGACUUCGGUCGGAGGCUAGCCUUGGUGCCGCCCAAUACCAAAUGAAAACUAAACUGAACCCAAACUGCCGCUGGAGCCCCUCGGGGUUCUUUCGGUUGUAAAAUCUAUUACAACUUUCAGCAAUGGAUGUCUUGGAUCCCACAACGAUGAAGAACGCAGCGAAAUGCGAUACGUAAUGCGAAUUGCAGGACCUCGUGAAUCAUCAAAAUUUUGAACGCACAUUGCGCUUUUGGGUCAUGCCCAAGAGCAUGCUUAUCUGAGUGUCCCUAAACCCCACUCAGCGACUGCUAUUGCCUCACGGCGAUGGCGGUUAGCUGGACUAUGACUUUGCAUGGCUCUGCCGUGCUCUGUUGAAAUUCAUCAGUUUGUUGUUGUACUUAGGCAGUCUCGGCUGCGGGUCCGAUGCGAGCGCAACUUAAGGAUUUGGUAGAUGCAUUUACUUGUGUUCUUUAUCCGGUUUGCGGGAGCGGAAGCCAACUAGGUUGACGAUGAAAUGGGUCUGCUGGCUAGCGCCGGACAGCACCCGCAAUGAAUGUCCAUUCUAUAUGGAUCUCAGAUUAAGUAAGACUACCC